rnacentral:rRNA from 1 species
UGAGGAAUAUUGGUCAAUGGACGGAAGUCUGAACCAGCCAAGUAGCGUGCAGGAUGACGGCCCUAUGGGUUGUAAACUGCUUUUAUGCGGGGAUAAAGUAAGGGACGUGUCCCUUUUUGUAGGUACCGCAUGAAUAAGGACCGGCUAAUUCCGUGCCAGCAGCCGCGGUAAUACGGAAGGUCCGGGCGUUAUCCGGAUUUAUUGGGUUUAAAGGGAGCGUAGGCCGUCGUUUAAGCGUGUUGUGAGAUGCCGCGGCUCAACCGUGGCACUGCAGCGCGAACUGGAUGGCUUGAGUUCGCGGGAGGUAGGCGGAAUUCGUGGUGUAGCGGUGAAAUGCUUAGAUAUGACGCAGAACUCCGAUUGCGAAGGCAGCUUUCCAGCGCGCUACUGACGCUGAGGCACGAAAGCGUGGGGAUCGAACAGGAUUAGAUACCCUGGUAGU